UCUAAUAAAGCACCCUGAGCUUCUUUCCUGCCUGCAAGAGAUACUUUAGCCGAUAAAUAAUUCAUAGUUUGACCAUUUUCAGAUUCAACAACUGUUUUCCUACGAUAGAAUCUAGGGUUUUGGCUAAUGUGGAAUGAUCCAUUUGCCCAAAGAGUGAUCUUUGAUGAUCCAAGGUUGUUCUCCAUUAAAUUAAAACAAACCCAUUUGAGAAUACAUGGUAAUUUAUAUUUCUGAAAAUGGGUCAUGACUACUUUGGAUAAAUUUGCAGAGUAUUAUUAAAUAGAGAACAAAGGGGACACUUUCUGAGCUUUUUUAGUUUAUAUUUAUAUCUAGAAGCUCCUUAAUUCAGUGCUUACCUUAAGCUCUGAAGAGGUUUUAGGCCUUGGUAUCCGAGGAGAAAGAUAGAGAGCUCCAACUGUUGAUGUCCUUCAGAUGAUGCCAAUUCGGCGGCGGCCAUUAGAGGAGCCAAAUUUUUCCAGAGGGGUUUAAAGGAAAUCAAGUUUUUGGUGGGGGUAAUA
rnacentral:lncRNA from 1 species